rnacentral:rRNA from 1 species
UGCCCAAUGAAAUUUUAAUGGCUGCAGUAUAUUGACUGUACAAAGGUAGCAUAAUCAAUAGUUUCUUAAUUAGAAGCUGGAAUGAAUGAAUUUACGAGAAAUUAAUUGUCUCAAUAUAAAAUUUAUAAUUUUAUUUUUAAGUAAAAAAGCUUAAAUUUUGUUAAAAGACGAGAAGACCCUAUAGAAUUUUAUAUAAUUUUAUAUAAAAAUUUUAUUAAGUAAAAUUGUAUUUUGUUGGGGUGAUAAAAAAAUUUAUUUAACUUUUUUUUUAUUUAAACAAUAAUUAUUGAAUUUUUGAUCCAAUUUUUUGAUUAUAAGAAUAAAUUACCUUAGGGAUAACAGCGUAAUAUUUUUUUAGAGUUCAAAUCAAAAAAAAUGCUUGCGACCU